GACGAACGCUGGCGGCGUGCUUAACACAUGCAAGUCGAACGGAAAGGCCCUGCUUUUGUGGGGUGCUCGAGUGGCGAACGGGUGAGUAACACGUGAGUAACCUGCCCUUGACUUUGGGAUAACUUCAGGAAACUGGGGCUAAUACCGGAUAGGAGCUCCUGCUGCAUGGUGGGGGUUGGAAAGUUUCGGCGGUUGGGGAUGGACUCUCGGCUUAUCAGCUUGUUGGUGGGGUAGUGGCUUACCAAGGCUUUGACGGGUAGCCGGCCUGAGAGGGUGACCGGCCACAUUGGGACUGAGAUACGGCCCAGACUCCUACGGGAGGCAGCAGUGGGGAAUAUUGCACAAUGGGCGGAAGCCUGAUGCAGCAACGCCGCGUGCGGGAUGACGGCCUUCGGGUUGUAAACCGCUUUCGCCUGUGACGAAGCGUGAGUGACGGUAAUGGGUAAAGAAGCACCGGCUAACUACGUG
rnacentral:rRNA from 1 species